rnacentral:rRNA from 1 species
UGGGGAAUAUUGGACAAUGGAGGAAACUCUGAUCCAGCAAUUCUGUGUGCACGAAGAAGGUUUUCGGAUUGUAAAGUGCUUUCAGUAGGGAAGAAGAAAGUGACGGUACCUACAGAAGAAGCGACGGCUAAAUACGUGCCAGCAGCCGCGGUAAUACGUAUGUCGCAAGCGUUAUCCGGAAUUAUUGGGCUUAAAGGGCAUCUAGGCGGUAUUUCAAGUCAGGGGUGAAAACUUAUGGCUCAACCAUAAGCUUGCCUUUGAAACUGAAAGACUAGAGUACUGGAAAGGUGGGUGGAACUACACGAGUAGAGGUGAAAUUCGUAGAUAUGUGUAGGAAUGCCGAUGAUGAAGAUAACUCACUGGACAGAAACUGACGCUGAAGUGCGAAAGCUAGGGGAGCAAACAGGAUUAGAUACCCUGGUAGUCCUAGCUGUAAACGAUGAUCACUGGGUGUGGGGAUGAAUAGUCUCUGUGCCGAAGCAAAAGCGAUAAGUGAUCCGCCUGGGGAGUACGUACGCAAGUAUG